rfam:Glycine soja cultivar W05 scaffold319_27, whole genome shotgun sequence.
UCUUGAUACCUAACUGAACAUUCUUAGAGCAUCACCAUUGUAGUUCAACAUCAUAAUGAUGUGAAAAAUGGGAAUGCUUUAAGAAUUUCAGUUAUGCAUCAAUC